rfam:Heterocephalus glaber contig201023, whole genome shotgun sequence.
UGGGGUGUGGCCCAGUGCUGGAGCAUUUGCCUAGCAUGCAUAAGGCCCUGGGUUUGAUUCCCCAGCACCACAA